UUGAGUGAGCGAUAUUGGUGAGGUUCAAUCCGAUGAUGGGGUUUUACAUGAAGGUGAAUCCAGUAUCUGAUUGAGCCGCGCCAAUAUCACUUCCUUCCAC
rfam:Dichanthelium oligosanthes cultivar Kellogg 1175 unplaced genomic scaffold Do_version_2_scaffold4200, whole genome shotgun sequence.